GAUGAAGAAGCAGCGAAAUGCGAUACUUGGUGUGAAUUGCAGAAUCCCGUGAACCAUCGAGUCUUUGAACGCAAGUUGCGCCCGAAGCCACUAGGCCGAGGGCACGCCUGCCUGGGCGUCACACGCCGUUGCCCCCCCAUCUACUCCUUCGGGAUUGCGGGGGGGCGGAUGAUGGCCUCCCGUGCGCCUAGCCGCGCGGUUGGCAUAAAUACCAAGUCCUCGGCGACGCACGCCACGACAAUCGGUGGUUGCGAAACCUCGGUUGCCCGUCGUGUGCGUUCGUCGCGCAUNNNNGGCUCGAAAAAAUGCUCGGCUCCGGCUGGGCUUUCAACGCGACCCCAGGUCAGGCGGGGUUACCCGCUGAAUUUAAGCAUAUCAAUAAGCGGAGGA
rnacentral:misc_RNA from 1 species